GAUUGAUUUGAUGGGCCCAGGAGGGGCUGUGUGAUAUGAUUGAACUGUUGAUAUAUGGAUUGUGAAUAUAGAAGUGCGUUUUUUAGCCCUUUUGCAGGUUGGGUAGGUCCUAGGUACAGGGGAGACUCUGCCGGAUUUUCGGCACGACUUAGGACGUACUUGAUCUUUUUCUUUGUUUGUAUUGAGUCAAAUUUAUUAAAUAGAUGUAAUGUAAUUGUCAGGUGAGCCGGGACAGCCUUCUUCCUCCGCCCAGCCGCCACAGUAAUUUGUCGUCAAGUUUGCCGCAGGAGGAUAUUUUAUUCUGGGUUAACCUGCUUUUAUACUUCGCAGGUUGUUUAUCGAUAUUUGUGUAAUUUUAUUUACUCCUAGAAUUUCCGCAUGUGUUAGCAGUAAUUAUUUGAAUUUGGUCUGUAAUAUUAUUAUCAUGUUGGACCUGUAAACUUAAUAUUUUAAGUCUGUUUUGAUGGAUUGGAUGAGGGAGCUGAGCUCCCAUUUAUUAUUA